GCUCGUCAUCAUUGCAGCGUCCGGACGGACGUUACAAUAUUAUAAAUCAUUUUUAUCGACAGUGAUGAGCCAUUUGUUGAUUUAUGAAAAAACAAUGAAAUCUCUCAGCCUCCCUCGGCCCACCCCUCCCCUCCUGCUUGACCCAGGUUAUCAAAUGUUGCCAUUAGAGCUGACAGGAGUUGGAGAGAAGUGAGUGGAAAUGGAUAAAUAACAAAAGCGCAAGGGGGGUGCAGAAAAGCUGCAAGAUAAAAAGCUAAAAACAAGUGGACAGCAAAAUGUCCCAAACUUACUGCCAUGUUUGCCAUCGCCACCUCAAGCUGGACUGCGGCAGCAGGUGCAGCCCCUGUCCCCCAGGGGUGUUCCAGGGAUGUGCCUUUCAUUGGUGUGGACUUCACAGGCAUUCUUCAGUCGUAGCACCAAGGUCCAUGUAACCUUUUGUCUCAGCAUAUUGCCACUUAAAGUGCGACAAUACUUGGGCUAAUUAAGAAGUUACACUCUACUAGUUGCGUCUGUAACUUAAGUUACAAAUGUACUCGUUUUGAGGUGUGGUUUAGUUUGAACUUUGCACCUUACAUUAAAACACAACUCAUACAGAGCUGGUGAAACAGGCCACAGAUGUUUCCCUGUGAGGUUGGUGGACAACCAAAACAGUGUCAAAAUUUCCCCCAGUUUUGAUCAAUGAAGGUGAGAUUACUUUGAAUGUUUUAAUAACAUUAGUUUAACACAUACAGUCGGUACACACAUUAAAUAUGUCUUUCUAAUGUGAUGUUUCUAUCUUAGGCUUAAAUGUUGU